GACCAUCACACCAUUGGCCCCGGAAAGGUGGUUUGCCCAGGGCGCCAAACAGGCUGGGACCGCCUCUGCAAACAAUUAUGUAGACAAAAAGGAGAAACUACAUGGACAAACUAACUCCAGCUUUUCAUGACUCAGUGGAGUUGACUGGAACAUCGACUUCCUGACAAGAUUAUCAGCUGUCCUCAACCACUCGUGAAUAUUCAUUGUUGCUGCAGAAUAAUGGCCUUCAAACCAUUUUCUGAAAUUGCCUCAUAAUCCUUCUCAGGUUGAUAAGCGGGGACUGUUGCCUCACAGAAGCAGCUGCUGAUUUCUUUCACCAUGUUGUGUUGUGUUAAAACGCACAUAUACGCUUCAGCGCAGCAAACUAGCAGUAUUUGUGGCUUUAAAGUUGUUGAUUCUACGUUAAUCAAAGCGAUUUGAUUCCCUUUUAGGAUCCCAACUGGGUCAGUGAGGACUGAAUUUGGAUAAAAUAGAUUCAGUCAAAUUUGUUAUGAACUGGAUCUUUCUGAGAGGAUGUUUGUUGCAAACCAGCAUUUUCUUUUUUUAAACUGGUAAAUACAUUGAAUUAUAUUA